GUUUCUGCACUCGAGGUGGCUGUCUGAGGUGGGAGAAUGAUGAGGGUGCACUAUUUUUGUUUAUUGCUGACCGGAUUCACGUUGCCCGGGAUGAUGACGUCACCUGUUUGGGGGCGGAGCUACCCGGGAGAGCGUGGAUGCCCGGCCAGUCUCACUCUGGUGGUAUGCUGUACUUAAGGGGUGUUUGCAGCCUGAAUCCAUGAGCAGGAGACAGAAAUCACAGAAAAUAAAGAUGACGUUGGUCCUUUACUGUACUUACAGUCAGAUACAUUAUGGAAUUUCCCCAAUGAUAUACAAGUGCUAAUUAUAUUAUGGUUUCUUUACCCUUUUGUUAUUAAAAGAUUGUGUACUAUUGAA